UACGGAGGGUGCAAACGUUGCUCGGAAUUAUUGGGCGUAAAGCGCACGUAGGCGGACUUUCAAGUCGGGUGUGAAAUCCCUCAGCUUAACUGAGGACGUGCAUUCGAAACUGUUAGUCUUGAGUAUGGAAGAGGGUCGCGGAAUUCCCGGUGUAGAAGUGAAAUUCGUAGAUAUCGGGAGGAACACCAGUGGCGAAGGCGGCGACCUGGGCCAAUACUGACGCUGAGGUGCGAAAGCGUGGGGAGCAAACAGG
rnacentral:rRNA from 1 species